rnacentral:misc_RNA from 1 species
GAUGAAGAACGUAGCGAAAUGCGAUACUUGGUGUGAAUUGCAGAAUCCCGCGAAUCAUCGAGUUUUUGAACGCAAGUUGCGCCCGAAGCCAUUCGGCCGAGGGCACGUCUGCCUGGGUGUCACGCAUCGUUGCCCCCCCAAACUCCGGUUCGGGCGGGGCGGAAGUUGGCCUCCCGUGCGGGCCUGCGCGCGCGGUUAGCCCAAAAGCGAGUCCUCGGCGACGAGCGCCACGACAAUCGGUGGUUUUUUUACCCUUGUUCCUCGUCGUGCGUGCCCCGUCGCCCGAACGCGCUCUUGCGACCCUCACGCGUCGCCUCGGCGGCGCUCCCAACGCGACCCCAGGUCAGGCGGGACUACCCGCUGAGUUUAAGCAUAUCAAUAAGCGGAGGA